GGGACCAGGUUGAUAGGCUACCAGAGAAAACAGCGUCAACGGUUUCCCCUGCAGAUGUGCUGCCUUCUGCCUCACGCUUUCCUAGUUUUGCCUGCAUGCCUGUCUUUUCCAGGCGCUUCUGAGUUCUAGUGCCUUCCAUUUACUCCAAGGUUUAAUGAAUUUCACCUGCAUUACUGUGGAAUAUUGCUGGAACACUUGUGAAGAGAGAAGAAAAAAAAAGCAAAGUGGGCAAUGCUGGGUAAAUAAAAGCUCACUGGAAUUUACUAGCUGUGUCAGGAAGGAUGGAUGGUGCCAAAAUGGGCAUGCUUUGCCGUGGGAUGCAUGGAGGCGGUUGGCCACCCACUCCGCUGGGAGCACUGACUGCACAUGGGUCCUCCGGGGCUGGAAGUACAAGUUUGAGUGAAUUUAAUAUGGUAUUGCUAAAGUAAAUGUGCAUUGGUCUUAUUCUGAUCCUCCACACAGGGCUGAAUUACUGAAUCCAAAGUAAUUCUGUUGGUUUAUAGAUGAAAACAGUUCUUUUAUUUUUGCAAACAAUAGCCACUGGGAUUUGGGAACUUGGAACUCCUUUUAGCUUGUAUUCAUUUCCGUUAUGUGUAACUGCUCUUGAGUAAGCAACAUAAUAGUUAAAAAGUGUUACCAGAAGAGACAGGAUGUCUUGAAGCAAACUUCAGACUAACAUUAUUCUAUUAUACCUACUUUGAUUUAUUUUUGCACUUAUUUUUUAUUUAUUUGUGCUUACUAGCUAAUGUUAUUUUAAUGUUGACUGUCAGGAAAAAGGCUCCAUAAUGUCUUGUUUCAAAUCAGUUCUGCCACUUAAUUUCAGAGCUUCUUGUCUUGUAUGCAUUUAUCCUGAGUUUGUCUCUUGUUUUUUAAAUGACAGAUUAUUUAUUUUCUGUACAUUCUUUAGAAAUGCACUAUUUAGAAAUAGCUGUUAAAGUUGAAGGCAUCAGAAAAAAUGCUAGGGUGCAUGUUACCCAUCUCACAGGGUACUCCCUGAGGACUUCUGGAGAACCUCAGAAAUGAAAUAGUGUAGCUGCUAUAGGAUACAUGCAAACUCUUGCUAUAAACAUUUGCCGUUAAAAGGAUCAAUAAGUAAUAUACCAAGCCUAUAUUUUCAUAAGGUAAUCCAAAUAAUUACUAAUACAUUGCAUUGUGUGUUAGAUGAUCCUUUGAAGUUAAAAAUGGAAUGACACAGCACUUCAAAGUCAUUUUAUGAGGUGGUCUAAAACCCGACAAUUUCUAGGAAGAAAAAUCUCCUUAAUGUCCUACUGAUACCUGAAUGGUUCAAUAGAGGUGUGGAUGAAGGUGAACUUACUAAUAUAUUUUAUUUAGAUUUUCACAAGCCCUUGGCAGAAUUAUCACAACAGGCUACUAAAGAAAUUGAAGAUGUAGUUUUAGAAGGCCAACUUAGCCCCCUAAAUACAUAUUUAAUUAACUGUAUUCAAGUUAUAGGCAUUAAUAGCAUUUCUAAUCUUGAAGGUUUGUAAUGCAGUAGGAACUUAUAUUUUCCACUGGUAGAAUCACUCGGUUCUCUUGUUUUUGCUGCUGAGCAUGUGCAAAACUGUCUUGACAGCUCCAGGCUGCUAAGCCCCAAAGAAAUACAUAAAAUAAGCAUUUUCUUGCAAGUUUCCUCACAACUGCCUGUCAACUUCAGUUUUGCAUCCCAGCAACCAAUUUCAACUCAUUUUAUUUUAUACUGACUACAUUUAUCACAAUUUAUUUUAUAUUCUUGAUAGGAUUGAAAGAGGCUCUCAGGGCCACAGAUUGCUGCUGAAAUAUUAGACAACAUUUGGCAUGAACAGGAUCAGAAAUUAAAACCUGGCAUUUUUCAGCCUGGUUGCCUUUGAAAGGAGGUUUAUGAGAUUGUGUUGUUUAUCUCUCUGUACAUUCAGCAAUUCCCCUUAAAAACUUUGGGACCCAAUUUCAACCAAAUUUGAAAGAUGAGCUGAAAUCUCAAGAUAAAUAAGGUCUGUGAAAAACUGCAGCUGUACAGAGGACAAAGCGUGUAAUUAAAUGCCUGCGCUGUGGAAAAGGCAGGUGGAAGCCAGCCUUUAUAUAGUGGUUGAGAGCUGCCAGCCUGCCCGAGUAUGCUCAAAGAGUUUUGAUUGAGCAUAGCAAGUGCCCUAUACAGAGAACGGGUUUCUGAAGAGAACCUGAGGUUGUUACGGCAGAGGAAAUUUUAGGAGGCAAAGAAUGCAAGUCCUUCAAAACAAUGAAUCAAACCCCACCUUGUUUGUUUUAUUUCUUGCAGAGCAACUUGAUUCUCAUGCCCUGCCUCUUCUUCCUCCUUCCCACCCUCAACACCGUUUUUCCUCCAAGGAUCUCCAGAGUCUGUUACUAUCUUUGUAUUCCCCUUGGUCUCCUGGCACAGCAUCAAUUCCUGUAACUUAACCAGCCUAAGAAUUCUGUCUGAUUUAGUAAUGAGGUCUCAGAUAUACCCUGGUGGGAGCCAGUUAAUGGCUGUUUCUUCAUCCAAAAAGUUCAACCAGGCUGUUAGGAUGUGCUCGUGUCAAUAGCUGGAACAAAACUAUUUGGUACUGACCCCUUUCCAUCCUGACUGGAGAAUCUCCUGCUUCAAUAUUUAUACUCAUCAAACAUUUGUGGAUUCUUACUGUGCCCCCCUGACAGCUACCUGACAUUUUAAAGACCCAGCGUUGUGUGGUGGGACUAGUGAAUCUAGUUUAAAAAAAGAUAAUGAUUUAAUUUUUUUUCAUCUAUACACACAUUUCAAGUAGUAUAUCCAACCCAACGUCGCAAUGUUUUGAGAAUACUCCUAUAAGGUAUGGAGACUUACAGCUGUCCCACAGGGUCUGUAUUACUCUAAAAAAAGCAUGUGAGAGUUGUAUAUUUUACAAAUAAGCUCAGCUGAAGAAACAAAGAAAAAUGCCUUGCCUCCUUUUUGUCUUUUCUGUCAGGUUCUUCCUCAAGAUGGAUACUUUAUGUAGCAAGGAAAGUUUUUGUAGUUCUUCUCUGGUCAAUUAUCUAAACGGGACACGAUUGAGCUGAUGUCAAAACAAAGAAUACGCACAUGCAUAGUGGGCUGUGAUAAAAGCUGCUCUUCUGUACAACUUCUCAGUUUGUGAAACCUGUCUGGUUUUGUAUAAUAGAUAAGCCCCAGGAAGUAUAAAAUUAGUGGGAGUGCUUGUAGUGUGGCCAAGUUACAGUUUUAUAGUCGUUUAAAGGUCAGUAGCAAAUUGACAUCUACACCCAGUCAGUCCUGCAGGGUGAGGCUCUGUAGGGACAAAGCUCUCAGGCAAACACCCACAAGAUUUGCCUGUGGCCAUAUGGAAGAACUGAGGCUGAAGAAGGGGCUGAGAUCCCAUCCUGCCACUUGCAUGCCAGGGCCAGAGUUACCAAGCCAAUCUUUCUCGUCAUUUAUCGAGGGCAGACUUUGAAACCCAAGCCUCCAGGAAAGAUUUUUGAAGCAAAACCUCCAGCUCUAAGGUCCCACGGUGCAGGUACUCUUCCCUGUGCCGCCCUCACCCCCCCGCCCCCAACUUCUGGCUUCUCUUUUUCUUGUUACGUAACCUGAAAAUGAGGUUUCAAUGAGAAGAAAGUUAAACUACUGAAGGAGACUACCAAGUUUAUGGAUGUUACUAUCUUUCAAAUAUUUAAUGUCUUACUUCUAAGUUAAAUUUUUUUUCUUCCAAACUUGUCAGGCUCCUGACUAGCCUCAUUAAGAGUGCAACUAGACUGUAACCAAAUGAUCUCUGUGAUACAAAAAACUGUCACCAAGACUGGUUACAGCUCACGCCUACAAAUACAAAAAGUUGUAUAGAGAUAACAGCACACAGGAAGACUUGCUAGGCCAUGGAUUAAGAUGUGUACCACUGCCAAUUUUCAGAGAAGAUGGUUUGCACAAUGAAAGCUCAGAACUCAAAAGCAAAGAUUGGGUGCUUUUCUAAGGAGAAUAGGUGGAGGGACAAGAUCUGGGGGAAAACCCUAAACCCCAAAAACCUGCUGUAGAAAAUGUUCCACCUGCUGUGAAAACGAAAAGGAAGGUGGGUAAUAAAAGAAGUAUGAAGAGUAUCUGUUUUCAGAAUGUGGCUGAAGAAAAAGAGGUAGUGGAAAUCACUACUACAGAUGAAAUCUUCAGAUGGUCUUAAAGCAUGGAAAGAUCUGUGCUGCAUCCCACAACUAGGGGAAAGCGCAUGGGGUGGGAGGGUGUUAAUAAGCAGGUCAUAAGACAAGGUGGAGAUUUGGAAGUGUCCAGCUAGAGCUAUGGUUGAUGUUCAGACAGGAAGUUCCUAAAAUGUCCUGAACUCCACAGAGCAUGCUUAAAUCCAUGAGUCAGUGCAGUAUACAGAAUCACAGAAGAUCUCAAGUUGGAAGUGACACAGAACAGAUCAUCCGGUCCAGCUCCCUGUGCCCUGCAGGACUUACGCUAAACCAAAUCAGCACACUGCCUGCUGUCCUCAGGCUCAGGUGCUUUGGGCUACAGCUGCCAGUUUAUACUGGGACAGGGACUGGGGUUCCAGUUUCUACUGGGACAGGGUGCAGCCUGUACUGGGAGGGGGUCAGGGGAUUCUGUUUGUACUAGAAGGUAAAUACAUAUAUAUACGCACACGUGCACGCACAUGUGCACGCACACAUGCGCACGCACGCCACAGCUACUCACCACUGACCAAGAAGCUCUCUGAACUACUUGUUUUCCCCAUGUCACAGAUAGCUGGUGAUGAGGCCGACACGGUUCGGAGUUCUCUUUCUAACCAAAGUUUUAAGCUCGGUGCACAGCCACCUGAUCUGCAAUACCAAACCUACCCCUCCAGCAGCUGGACGCAAACUCAGGGAAGUUCCCUGCACGUUCUUGGGUCACAAGCCAGGCUGACGUACCUGUACCUCAGCUGUAAAUGAAGCCUCCCCUGACACUUGUGCAGCAUGCCACUCCCAGGAAGAUUUAGGAGUGCUAGCCAUGCCCUGCCUCUGGCUCAUGCGGUCCCUGGCACCACUCUGACAUUCACAGAAGAAUGUACAUCGCCUGCGUAUCUCUCCAAGUAAACAAGGCUUAGCAGCUCAAACGGUGUUCAGAUGGCUCUUCGAUACAUUCAUUUGGGUACAUGUGGCUCGAAAGUGCUCUUUUUCUAUGCCUUGGUGCUUUGCCACCAACCAAAAAUCACCCCCACCCCCCCCUUCUUCCCACAGACCAGCCUUGCUGGUGAUUUUGGCCUGCUCCUCCCUUCCCCAGCGAGCUUCUUGCUCUGACAAAUUCUCCCUUGGCAACAAUAGCUCCUGCUGGGUUCCUCCCAGUCUGUGGUCAUGGCUACUGGGGUGUGAAGUGUUCUGCCCACCUGAGUCAGAAAUGCUCGGCAGCUCGACUGACAGCCUAACAAAGGGCAAGUCAUCAGCUGAAUUGUACCCAGCGCCGGGACUGGCUCGGUGGAAAGGGCUGGAUGUGAGAAUACCUGGCCAAAACGCUGCAGUUUCUCAAAUUAUUUUUUCAGCUCCAACAGCCUGCAAACUGCUUCAAAUUUAUGAAUCCAUUCUGCAUGUAAUUUAAAAGUGCAUUUUCUUCAGAGAAAAGAUAAAUUGCAAAAAUAAAAAUGUUUCUCUACCUACAAACAAGCCUGUGUUACGUUUUGGGAGUG